rnacentral:rRNA from 1 species
GAUGAACGCUGGCUACAGGCUUAACACAUGCAAGUCGAGGGGAAACGACGGGGAAGCUUGCUUCCCCGGGCGUCGGCCGGCGCACGGGUGAGUAACGCGUAUCCAACCUGCCUCUGACUGAGGGAUAACCCGUCGAAAGUCGGCCUAAUACCUCAUGGUAUCGUCUGCGGGCAUCCAACGACGAUUAAAGAUUUCAUCGGUCAGGGAUGGGGAUGCGUCUGAUUAGCUUGUUGGCGGGGUAACGGCCCACCAAGGCUACGAUCAGUAGGGGUUCUGAGAGGAAGGUCCCCCACAUUGGAACUGAGACACGGUCCAAACUCCUACGGGAGGCAGCAGUGAGGAAUAUUGGUCAAUGGGCGAGAGCCUGAACCAGCCAAGUAGCGUGCAGGAAGACGGCCCUAUGGGUUGUAACCUGCUUUUAUGCGGGGAUAAAGUGAGGGACGUGUCCCUCAUUGCAGGUACCGCAUGAAUAAGGACCGGCUAAUUCCGUGCCAGCAGCCGCGGUAAUAUGGAAGGUCCUGGCGUUAUCCGGAUUUAUUGGGUUUAAAGGGAGCGUAGGCCGUGGAUUAAGCGUGUUGUGAAAUGCAGGUGCUCAACGUCUGCACUGCAGCGCGAACUGGUCCACUUGAGUGUGCGCAACGCAGGCGGAAUUCGUCGUGUAGCGGUGAAAUGCUUAGAUAUGACGAAGAACUCCGAUUGCGAAGGCAGCUUGCGGGAGCACAACUGACGCUGAAGCUCGAAAGUGCGGGUAUCGAACAGG